GUGGGGAAUAUUGCACAAUGGGCGAAAGCCUGAUGCAGCAACGCCGCGUGAAGGAAGAAGGGUUUCGGCUCGUAAACUUCUAUCGAUGGGGAAGAAACAAAUGACGGUACCCAAAUAAGAAGCCCCGGCUAACUACGUGCCAGCAGCCGCGGUAAUACGUAGGGGGCAAGCGUUAUCCGGAAUUACUGGGUGUAAAGGGAGCGUAGGCGGCAUGGUAAGCCAGAUGUGAAAGCCCGAAGCUUAACUUCGAGGAUUGCAUUUGGAACUAUCAAGCUAGAGUACAGGAGAGGUAAGUGGAAUUCCUAGUGUAGCGGUGAAAUGCGUAGAUAUUAGGAAGAACACCAGUGGCGAAGGCGACUUACUGGACUGAAACUGACGCUGAGGCUCGAAAGCGUGGGGAGCGAACAGGAUUAGAUACCCUGGUAGUCC
rnacentral:rRNA from 1 species